rnacentral:lncRNA from 1 species
CCAGUCUUAGAUGAAUAGGAAUAGUAAAAUCAAAGUAUCUUGGUUGUCAUUUGUUUUCAACCCAGUCUUGUACCUCACCCGAGCCAAGUUUUGAAUCCAGAUCAUGGUAAAUACCUAAUGCCAUGUGACAGAGUAAUGAGUACAUGUUCAAGAUGACUUUAUAGUUUAGCAAACCUUACCAUGGGGGAAUUAAAAAAAAGAGUCCAAAGAAUUUAGAAAAUCUCUUAAAAGAACAGAAUAACAGGCUUUGACCUUUACCUCCCAUUUCUGUCCAAAAUGUAGAUAUAAACAAUUCUGGAACUUUCUGCAAUUAGCAGAUUCUUGAAUUGUGUUCUGGUUUGCUUUUCUCCUAUCUACCCGAACAAAUAAGACAUUCUGCUUUUGGAAGCCAUUUGUAAAAAAUACUGAAGAUACACUAGAAUUUAAAUCUUACCUUGUCUGCUUGGUUUGAAAUCUGCCUGUACUUUCAUGUUAAGAUUUUUUGAUUGCUGGUAUUUAAAGGAAUCAAGCCUGAAACCAAAGCCAAAGGAAUCUGCUUUCUUGCUCAAAGGUUUGGUUGAUUUAGUUGAUUAGGUGAUAUUUUAUACACUUU